AUUCACUUCCUGAAAUCAUUAUUACACUAUAUGUUAACUAACUUGGAUUUAAACUUAAAAGAAAACCCAUACCACAUCUCUCCUAAAUUGAUUAGUUUGGGCUUGAUAAGCAUCCAUCCAUCUGCCAUUCAUUUAUUCCUCUUCCAUUCAUGCAUACAUAAAUCAUGCAGGCAUCCAUCCCUUCCCUAUGCACUUGUUUCUACUGUGGAGAAAUAUGCCAUUCAUGCUGGCUGUAUCCAGAACCUCUUCUCAGGGACCCUACGCUCUGAAGUCCUCCUGAUUGGACCAGGUAUUGGCUCCUGACCAAAGUCAGUCUGUCACAUCCUCUGUCUCAGGUGUCUGGAAUUGAGACACUGAGAAACUGAGUCUAUCAAAUGAUUGUAACCUCUUGAAUUGAAAGGGCAUAUAAAAAAUGGGGAGAAAAAUUAAGAUAAUGUUCAGAGAGAGACAGGAAAAUAGAGGCAACAUAAAAAGAUACAUAGAGAUGGAGAGAGGUCCACUGACCUUCUAUUUCCUCUGUGGUCUCUCUGCUUUCCACAGUUGAGCUCUGUGAAUUCUACUAACCCUACCCUCUGACUCCUAACUGACUACUUCAUUAAACCUUAGCUCACAGAGUGAAUUGCUGAGCCCUGCAAGCAAAGUCCUGGACUAGGUUCCAGACUCUUCUCUAUGUCAGUCAUCUCAAUCUUCACAAGAGGUUAAGGUGAGUACCAUCAUUAUCUUCAUUCAGAAGUGAGGGCACCGAGACUCAAAGACCUCAGUAACCCAUUGCAGUCAGAAUAAAAUUCCCGCUCCUUUCCUUCUUUAACCACAUGGAUAUUCUGGUCCUUAACCAUGUCUCCACUUCCAUCUCCUACCAGACUCUCAGUCAUGAUACUCCAGUCACAGUGAGGUUUCUUCUGGGUCUCAAAUUUACUAAACCCGGUCCCACCUCAGGACCUUUGCACUUACUGUUCUCGCUGCCUAGAGCACACACACUUCCCUAACUCAAAGAUGGCUCCUUCCUACCUUUCAGCUCAGAUAUCACCUUUGUAGAGAAGCCUUUUCUGACCACCUCAGAGAAACGGACAUUUUCCAUCCCUGGUCACUAACAAGUACCGUGUAUCUUACAGCCCUUAGCGUGAUACUUGCUUAUUGUCUGCCUCCAGCCCCAUGCUGGAAUACGCAUUCCUGAAGAACAGAGACUUCAUCUGUUCCCUUCACAACUGUUCCCAGUGCCAAGAAUUCAGUUUGGCGCAUACUAGGAGCUGAAGAAAUACUUAUUGAAUAAGUAAACUUGCCCACAUCAAACAGCUAGUAAAUGAUACAGGCAAAAUGUAAAGGUUGAUCUGACUCCAGAGGCCCUACUCUUCCCGACCUAUUAGCUGCUUCUCAUUGUUCAGUCUUGAUAAAGACUUUAGCCAGAAGGUUAUAAAAGAGUAGUUCAUAAUUAGAAAUCCAUAAAUCUAGGUUACAUGAGAGAGAAAUAAACAAUGCAGGCAAAGGAGGAGAAACAUCUGUUUCUGAUUAUAUCAUAUAAAAUAAAAUUUAGGUCAUAAAGUCUGGAGACAUACUUCAUUUUACCUAAUCAUUCCUUCUUAAAAUUCAUGUAGGAAUUGAUGGGCUUUUCUUUUUCAGCUAAAAUUCUAUUUUAAAAGCACCAGGGAACUUGUUAUUUAAAUGUACCCUGAAGCAAAUCCUUUUGCACGGCAAAUAAUCCUGCCUUAAUUUGCAUUUUAUAAGUUGAGUUUUCUGCACUAUAGUUUUUUUUUUUUUAAUGAGUUCUACUAUGAUGCAAUUUUCAUUGCUGGUUGAGCUUGUUAGAUAGGCUUUGCUUUUGCUUUAAAGAUUUUUUCCAAUGUGAUCACAUACGUGUCUAGUGCUGUCUUUGCAAACAUAUCCUCUGAGACUCAAUUAAGCAGAGUUGGUUCUUCAAGAUUAAAAGAUGUAGAGCCCAGUUGUACAGACUCUGGAUAAGGCCUCACUGGGGUCUCUGUUCCUGGACAUAUUUCUCUGAUUCUUUUGCAUCUUUCCUUCCAAUGUCCUGUCAUCUUGGAGUUCCUGCAGAUCCCAGGGCUUGCUGAUUGUUUGGGUAUGCCAUAAGAAAUAUUCCUCAGGGGCAGGAGAAGAAUAUGUCCUAUUCCUCUCAGCGGGGGUACCCCAAGGGUCCAAAAGGAAGAAACCACUUCUAUCUACUUACACAUGGAAAGUGGCUUCAUCUGCUCCAUAACAUUGGGGAACACCAGAGACCUUCCAUUAACAGUGCAUCUCAGCUGGACACACUUGCUGUUUUACCUCCACUCAUGUCUAAGUGCUCCAGCUAUAUCUGGUUAUUUCCAAUUAUUCCCAGAGCCCUGGCCUUUCUCCUGGGCAGGACAGACUAUUUGGGGCCACCUGCUAAGCUGAGGCUAAAAGUUCUAACCAGGAAUUCAGAUGGUGCAAGCAUCAUGAGUCAGAAAUCAGUCAACAAAAGUCAAUCCCUCCCUCCCUCUUAUAAGCUGGUCACUGGUAGUUAUGGGGGUCCUCAAGAUGGGGCUGGACAGUGCCUUUACUGGGUGUUGGGACGACCAGUCGGAAAAAGGAACAGUGGCAGUGCCAUCCACCAAGUGAUGCUAAAAUCAGGUCUCCUCCUCUGGGCAAAGAGAACAGCUUGGAGGAACAUCCUGUCUUCAAGACGGGAGGUGUAGUUAUCUGACCAGCCGCAAAGUACUGCCUAUUAAUGUCAAAUGUAGUCUAAUCCUAAUGUCACUCCUGCAUAUUGGAGGGGAAGCAACGCUUACUGAGCACCCACUCGGUCGUCUCUUCCACCUUGGAAGAGGGGUGCAUCACUCGCCUUUUAUCAAUGAGGAAGCGGCUUCAGAGAGGUGAAACGACCUGCUCCGGGACACAUAGUUCCAAGCAGCAGAGCCGGGACUCAGUCCAGUGGGAUGCUCACCUUACCGCCCCCCACCUCUCCCCAGCCCGUCUGAGGACCAGCAUCUUGAAAAUAUGGGAACGAUAAUCAUCACCUUCACUAACAAACCUCACAUUUGUUGAGCGCUUACCAUAGGUCAGGCAUUUUUCCUAAGUGUUUUCUUGGUAUUACCUCAUUUAAUGCUUGCAACCACCCCAUGCUACUUCCAUUGUCAUUGUUUUAUGAUGAGACGCUUGGGUCACAGAGUGGGUUAAGUAACUUGCCCAGGGUCCCAAGGAUGGUACUUGGGCUUCAUCCCCAGGUGCGGUAGCUCCAGAGACCCUGCUGAAACCAACUGGGACUUCCUAGGGACUUGUAGCCGUAUCUGGUGGCUUCUCAUAGUACACAUACCAUAUUUCCCAAGUUGGUUCCCAGUCCAUGUCAGUGUCCACCCAACGGCCUGGCUGCCCUUGCCACAUCUUCCUUCCUCCUCCUAAGAUUGACUGUACCCUGGUAAGGCAGCUGGCCCUCUGGCAGGCUGACCUGCUCUUUUCCAGGUUGUGGCGGAGCAGGUGAUCCCAGUUUGCCAUCUGACGUGGGCCUUUGGCACCCAGCCUCUAUGUUCCAGAGACAGUAACCUGCUGUGCCGUGUUCUUCUUGAGCUUUAAUAAGAUCCUUAUGGAAAGGGCCUGACCCAAAGGCGGCCUGGGGGAUUGAAAAGGAGCACUUGAAGAUACUGACUGACAUUGCAUCCUUGCCUUGUUGCCUGCUUGCCGUGAGCUCUUCGGCAAGUCACUUAACCUCUCCAGGCCACAGUUUUCUCAUCUGUAUAAUGAGGAGAUCCGGGCCAGAUGAUCUCUCAAGCACCCACCAGUCCAAGUUUUCUCUGAUCAUAAUUACUCAGCAUUCCUCCCUGAAAGAUUUGGAAAUGAGUAUUCUUUGCCUUUAGGAGUCUGAGUUUCUUGAUCCCACCCAAACUUGUGGUGCUUUAAGAAAAUUACCCCAGAGAUGCUGUGGAAAUGGCCUGAGGCUGCCUUUCCAGAGGAGGGUCUGGCGCCUUAUGCGUGAGCAGUUGGCUGCUGUGCUUGGCGUGCAGCGGGGGUCCAGGGCUGCGGGGCCUGCCUGUUUCCUCCUAAUUUAGCCCCAUGCAUGCAAGUCCCCUGCACCCUCAGCUCUAAUUAUUUUAUUUGUAAAAUGGAAAUAGGACGGGGUGAGGGAAAGUUUGCACUAAGCUUUUCAAGCUGUUUUCACACUACAAAAGCAAUGAAAAAAAUAGAGAAAAUUUGGGAAAUCGAUAUUAGGCAAAAAAGUCAUCCAACACGUCUUUUUUCUAGUUCAAUUACUGUACGUUACUAGUAUGGUCUUUCUUUCUUUCUUUUUUUUUUCAUUUGUGUGAUUUAUCUACUAACCAUGGAAGUUUGUGUCUUGUGGGGUUUUUUGUUUUGUGUUGUGGCUGUUUUGUGGGGGGGGGUUUUGCCUUUUUGACUUAACAUUGUCAUAAAAUGUUACAGAUUGCUUCAUAAUCUUUGCAAGCAUCACAUAUAAUGAUGCAUAUUUCUUGCCAUUCUAUUUGUCUAUUGGUUGUUUUUUUAAUGCUAAAGAUAAUUUUUUUCUUUUAUUAUUUAUAAAUAUAGGGCUAUGUUACACCUGUGUGUGUGUGUGUGUGUGUGUGUGUGUGUGUGUGUGAGUGUGUGUGGAUAUGUUUGUUUCUAAGGGACUAGAUUCCCAAGAAUAAAUUCUCAAGAAUUACUGCUUUAAAGGAUUUUAUCAUUUUCCCAGCUUCUGGUACAUAUUGUCAAAUUGCUUUCCUAAAGGGCUGCACUGACUCACAUUGCCAUCAGCAAUUACCCAUUUUGCUACAUCUUAACCAGAAUUGCUUAUUAUCACUUCAAUGUUUUGUAGAUUUAAUAGACAAAGCAGCACCAAAUUGUUUCGAUUUGCAUGCCAUUGAUUAAUGAAAGAUGCCAAUCAUUUUUCCAUUUUUUUUUACUCUUCCCUCUUGAAAGAACCAGGAGACCUAGGAGACCCUUUAGCCCAGUCCUCUAACACUUAGAGGCUGGGAGCCUCCAAGAAGCAGAAGGACAGUACAAGGUUACAGGAAUCAGACAGGAGACCACAAGGAGAUGUAAUUAACCGUGUUCAGCCUUUGCUGGGUGGCAGCCGAGAGGAAAAACUGUAACAGGGGUGUAGCUGCCUUACUUUUGGUGAGCCCAAGAGGGAGAAACUGGCAUUAGCUAGUAUUCACCUGGCUUGCUAAGAGGCACUGGAACAUAGAAGAGAUAAACUUUGAUGUGAGUGCAUCAGAGAGACCGAGGAGGAAUUUCAGUAUCAGCCCAAGGUACAGGGUGCUCUGUCGGAGGGCCCUGUCUUCCAUCCCUGCAAGUGAAAACAGCAUCCCUGGAAUGGGUCUGAGAGACUGGCCUGGGAGACGGUGAUGGUACACCCCUCCCUCACCCCUGUCGGGGCGGUUCCAUAACAGCUUCCAUGGGCCUCUACUAGAGGCCUCUAAAGAGGCCUCUUUCCCCCUCUACUAUCACAUUCUCUGUGAUAGCACAAGAAUGGCAACAACUGAGGUGCAGGGUUCAAGCUGCAGACUAAUAUCGCAGCAAAAUCUACACUACGAGGAGGCGCUGGGACCACAGACCAUUUGGCACCCUGCUGCCUCACGCCUUAGAGAUUGUUGACAUUUCCACAGGCCCUGCUGGAAUGCCUUGACUCUGGGGUGUCCGAAACUGUGGGUCUUGACCCUGUAGUAGCCUGUGAAAUAAAGUGACUGUGUCAUGACCAAGGUCAAAAACAGACAAGAAGACUAUGGAAGGUUUUGAAAAAAAUCAGAGGACCAAACAGAGAACAGGAAUGCGUGCGUUCCAUGAAAUGUUUGUUUUGGUUGUUAUUGAGUCAACUGGGUCAAUACCUAAACGAUAUUUCUCGCUGGGAGUUUUUAAUGGAACAGCCUAAAAGCCGUUAUCUUUCUGGAAAAGAGAGACGGACAGGGGACCUUAAGUUCUGUGGCCAAGGCCGGGGGCUGGUGUCUGUGGGGAGGGAGAGGAGUCUGCAUGGUGCUGUGAUGCCCAGAGAGCACUGCCCGCUCCCUACGUGGGGGCCAGCCCUUCCAGGAUCUAUGCACGGAAGACCAGACUUAAAGUUUACAAAGCAUCCCUAAGUGACC